rnacentral:rRNA from 1 species
UACGUAGGAGGCGAGCGUUGUCCGGAGUUACUGGGCGUAAAGCGCACGCAGGCGGUCAGAUCAGUCUGGGGUGACAGUCGUCGGCUUAACCGACGAAGUGUUCUGGAAACUGUCUGACUUGAGGGCUUCAGAGGGACACGGAAUUCCGGGUGGAGUGGUGAAAUGCGUAGAUAUCCGGAGGAACACCAAUGGCGAAGGCAGUGUCCUGGGAAGUACCUGACGCUCAGG